rnacentral:pre_miRNA from 1 species
CAAAGCCGCUGGACCCCCCAGCAGACCAGGGGAAAACGAGCAAAGCCGCCCAGACGGCAGCUUUGCUCGGGUGUCCCUGGUCUGCUGGGGGGGUCCAGCGGCUUUG